GAUAGAUAGAUAGAUCUGUCUUUAAAAAAUACACCUGCUGUUAUAGUGGGCAUUUACAAAUGAAGUCAUGCAAAUUGUUGUUUUCCUUGUAUUUCUGACUACAUCAGUCACAUUUUUAUCUAUUUUUUAUUUUGGUGAGUACAUGCUUAGCUCUGUGACACAUUCACAUCUGUUUCUCCUGUGUGCUACCUGAGUUAAUAAUCUCAAGUAAAAUUAAAUAAUCUUCUUAUUCUGAUAGAGAAGAAAAAACUGGAUCACUUACCAGUAACUGGAGUUCUCCUAUUGGGUAAUCUCCACAGAUCCACAUUCUCUGACGCUAUUGUGAGUGCCUUGAGGACCGAGGGACGGUUGUGAUCCCCUCCCAGGAAGGAAACCUCGCCCUGUCUCCCAGCUGGUCGCACAGCAGGUCACUCAGCAGUUCGUGCCCCCUACCCAGUCGAAGAAAGAGAAGAAAGACAAAGUAGAGAAGGACAAAAGUGAGAAGGAAGCAGCUAGCAAAAAGAACUGUCACAAGAGAACCAGACCAAGAUUAAAAAAUGUGGAUCGGAGUAGCGCGCAGCACUUGGAAGUCACUGUUGGAGACCUGACAGUCAUUAUCACAGACUUUAAGGAGAAAGCGAAGUCAGCGCCUGCAUCCGGAGCCGCGGCCGC
rnacentral:lncRNA from 1 species